rnacentral:piRNA from 1 species
CACUGAAUUCAAGGACAGCCUGGGC